UAGAAUUCCACGUGUAGCGGUGAAAUGCGUAGAGAUGUGGAGGAAUACCGGUGGCGAAGGCGGCCUUCUGGACAGAUACUGACGCUGAGAUGCGAAAGCGUGGGGAGCAAACAGGAUUAGAUACCCUGGUAGUCCACGCUGUAAACGAUGUCGAUUUGGAGUUUGUUGCCUAGAGUGAUGGGCUCCGAAGCUAACGCGAUAAAUCGACCGCCUGGGGAGUACGGCCGCAAGGUUAAAACUCAAAUGAAUUGACGGGGGCCCGCACAAGCGGUGGAGCAUGUGGUUUAAUUCGAUGCAACGCGAAGAACCUUACCUGGUCUUGACAUCCACAGAAUCUUGCAGAGAUGCGAGAGUGCCUUCGGGAACUGUGAGACAGGUGCUGCAUGGCUGUCGUCAGCUCGUGUUGUGAAAUGUUGGGUUAAGUCCCGCAACGAGCGCAACCCUUAUCCUUUGUUGCCAGCGAUUCGGUCGGGAACUCAAAGGAGACUGCCGUUGAUAAAGCGGAGGAAGGUGGGGACGACGUCAAGUCAUCAUGGCCCUUACGACCAGGGCUACACACGUGCUACAAUGGCGUAUACAAAGGGAGGCGACCUCGCGAGAGCAAGCGGACCUCAUAAAGUACGUCUAAGUCCGUAUUGGAGUCUGCAACUCGACUCCAUGAAGUCGGAAUCGCUAGUAAUCGUGAAUCAGAAUGU
rnacentral:rRNA from 1 species